AUUUCAACAAUGGGGUAGUAACCUGCAGGUUGAGCCAAACAAUUUAAGUCCAUGAGUAUAUUUCCUAAUAUACAAAAUCAUAGAAAUCAAAUGCUAUCGCUGAAUGACAUUAAAUAACAAAAUCUGAAAAGGAAUAAAUCUCUAAAUAAUAUAAUCCACUGCAAAAAACAAAUGUACUCGCAUAAUGAAGUGUUUCAUCACCUGAAAUGUAAGAGAACUGGGAUCAGAUUGGUGAUCCAAAACAAAAAUCAUAUUGAAAAAAACUAGGCACAUACAAUUAACAAUCAAAGAGAAAUGGAAAAGCACCAUUGACAGUCAUAUAUAAAACUACAGGUGUUUUACAUUACAGCACAUUGUUUCAUAGAGCUUAUUAAUCUAAUUUACUACUCAAGACAACAAUCUAAUUAUAACCCUCAAGAAGCUCACCUUUGACCUUUCAGAAUCCAUGUUUAAAGUGAUGUACCACCAACCAACAUCCCUAUUCAAUGUAUUUUUAGCCUAAAAAUAAUCUUAUCAAGCAAGCUGACCUAGAGAUGAUUUGGCCACUCGCAACAAGGAUUUUAUGGCAUCAAAAAAGAAAAGCCAGCAGGUAAGGGACAUAUUGGAAAUCUAUACAGCAAAUCAUUAAAAUACCAAAUGUGGCUUGCGUGUUCAAUAUUAGAGAAAAUAUGAUUGUGAACAUGUAAAUAUAGGAAUUAACUAGAACUCCAUACCUCUGGUGUAUCUGCCCAAUGU
rnacentral:misc_RNA from 1 species